rnacentral:lncRNA from 1 species
CUAAGUCGAGAAUUAGGCAAUCACUCCCAUUGAAGGUAGCAGGCUCACAGUGCCAUUCAUUGGUACUGUUCAUCUCGUUUCCAAAGUUUCAAUUCACACCAUUGAAGGCUCCAAGACUUAGUUAUCUUCGUACCUUUUCUAUUCAAGGCAAGUGAUAAUAGCUAAUUGAAAUUUCAUUUAACCUAAUCGAUUCCAAGCUAUUUCGUCUCUCCGAUUUAAGUUGCUAAAUAUUUUCUCUACUCUCGGUUAAUCUUCCACAGGUGCCAGGAGGCGGAAUACCCUCAUCUAAUUGUCAAUUUUAUCAAAGCUUCUUGCUUAAGUCUGUCUACCCAAACCAAGUAUGACCCUGUACCUUUUUUUUCUUUCUGAAAUUACUCUUCUACUUGAUAUAAUUCAGUAGAUUUUUGCUUCAGAGCAUAGCUAAUUGAUUCAAAGUUGUUUGUUUGAUGAUUUACCAUGCGUAUACAUGUUAAACAUGAUCAUAUUUGAAAGAAAGGU